rnacentral:rRNA from 1 species
GCCGCGGUAAUUCCAGCUCCAAUAGCGUAUAUUAACGUUGUUGCAGUUAAAAAGCUCGUAGUUGAAGUGUGGGUGGUGCCAUCUGUGAAGCUUCGGCUUCUAGGAUACUCACUACCCCCUUCCAGUAUCCAGUAGUGGGUAUUCAGUUACUUACUAUUGUGUGUUGGUCGUUUACUGUGAGAAAAUUAGAGUGUUCAAAGCAGGCGUUUGCUUGAAUAGAUUAGCAUGGAAUAAUAAUUGAAGGCUUUCGUGUUCGAUUUGAUUGGUUUGUUCAUGGAAGCAAGGUUAAAAGGAACAGUUGGGGGUAUUCAUAUUCACUAGUUAGAGGUGAAAUUCUCGGAUUUAUGGAAGAUGAACAAGUGCGAAAGCAUUUACCAAGGAUGUUUUCAUUAAUCAAGAACGAAGG